GUGUGUUUGUGUUUACUGUCUGUUCUUCUGUUCACUGCUGUAAUAGUCAUCUGUGUCUAUUUCAACAAUGAGAGAAAACAACUACUAACACACAACUAUAACUUGACUAAAGAACGAGACCAGCUCAAAAACAAACUCAACGAUGCCUUAACAGAUUUCCCUUUCAGUACAUGGAUUCAAUACAACUUGAGUUUUUAUUACAUUUCAUCUGAUUAUAAGAGCUGGAGUGACAGCAGACGAGACUGUGAACAGAAAGGAGCAGAUCUGCUUAUAAUAAACAACAAAGAGGAAGAUGUGUUUUUGCGUAAUCGUACUGGUUAUAGCAUUUGGAUUGGUCUGAAAAAAGAACUGGAAGAGUGGAAAUGGGUUGAUGGGACCACACUGACAUCUGGCUACUGGAUAGAUGGAUAUCCCCAAAAUCCUGAUUGUGCAAUCAUGACUGCAUCUGGGUGGAUUAAUGAUCUCUGUAAUGAAGGAAAAUAUGGAUGGAUAUGUGAAAGGAAAAAUUGCUUAAAUCUCUCAUGAUAUGAUGAUGUUUAUUUAAAUAAACCAUGUAGGCAUGUUUGUUCAAUAUGGUAAUAAAUACAUUCUCUAAGGGGCAGUUUCCCAGACAGGACGUAAGCAUUUUUUUUAACUAAAAUGCAUGUCAAACUUAACUGAAAACAAAUUGUACUGACGUAUCUUAAAGUAUAUCACGGACAUUGUUUUGACUACUUAAAUGUCCUAAUAUAAGGCCUAAUCUAAAUCUUUUCCAGACAGGGUUUGGAUUAAUCCAGGACUAUGAUAUUUAAGUAGUUUUUACAAACAUACAUCAGAAAAAGACUUUACUGUGGCCGGUUGCAUAAACAUAGCCGUGACAUUAAGACUGCAUCUUAAGAAUGAUUCUGACUAACUAGCAAUUAGUUAGGGCUAAUCAGUCUUAUUAUUUGGAUUUAAAUUAGACCAAUCUACCUUUCUAUGUAACAUACUUAAAACGGUUAUGAUCAGUCUUGAAGAAAAAAAUUCAUGACUAACUUUAAAGACUAGUCUUAAAGUUUUAUGCGGCCACUGGUGUGCAUUUUGAGACAAAACAAUGUCAAUGAUAUAUGCUAAGAUAUUUCAGUUCAUAAAAAUUAAAGCCGCUACACAUGCAUUUUAGUCUGGGACUAGGAUAAACCUGGUCCGGGAAACUGCCCUAUGAGUUUAUAUUUUAAGUUUUGACCAUAAAUGUCACAUCCAUAACAGUGGAUCUGACCAUUUAAGGCCAGAGUAUUUUAAAUGUGUUUAUAAUUUUUAGCUUAACACCACACAACAGUAUAAUGAUUUGUAACAUAAUGUUGUUAGUGUCAUAGCUAUUAAGUUGGGCAAAAAUAGCUCUUGCAUUUCCUAGUGUAUGUGGUGAAGUUGCAAACUCUGAGCUCAUUGUGUUUUUUUUUUUUUUUUAUAAAAUGACAAUGAAAAGUGGAUAAACACAGAAAACAUUAAACUACUUUUAGAUUCAUGCUGAGUAUAUAUAUAUAUAUAUCUGUUUUUGCCAAAUAGGUUUGUGUUACUUUGAAUAAAUGUUGUUAUAAUUAACGCUUGUAUCACAUGAUCUCUAUAGCAGCUUUGUGAUCAGCCUCUGCAUAUUUAAGAUGAUUAUAAACUUAAUUAAUGAAUAUUAAUCAUAUGAUGUUACAUUCACACCGUGGUUCUUGCUAAGGGUAGAUAAAUAAACAUGUUUUCUGAAUAUAAACAGUGAGGAAAAUAAGUAUUUGAACACCCUGCUAUUUUGCAAGUUCUCCCACUUAGAAAUCAUGGAGGGGUCUGAAAUUGUCAUCGUAGUUGCAUGUCCACUGUGAGAGACAUAAUCUAAAAAAAUCCAGAAAUCACAAUGUAUGCUUUUUUUAACUAUUUAUUUGUAUGAUGCAGCUGAAAAUAAGUAUUUAAACACCUGAGCAAAUAAAUGUUAAUAUUUGGUACAGUAGUCUUUGUUUGCAAUUACAGAGAUCAAACGUUUCCUGUAUUUGUUUACCAGGUUUGCACACACUUUAGGAGGAAUUUUGGCCCACUCCUCCACACAGAUCUUCUCUAGAUCAGUCAGGUUGCUGGCCUGUCGCUGAGAAACACGGAGUUUGAGCUUCCUUUCAAAGAUUCCCUAUUGGGUUUAGGUCUGGAGACUGGCUAGGCCACGCCAGAACCUUGAUAUGCUUCGUAAAGAGCCACUCCUUGGUUAUUCAGGCCAUUUUCAUGUUGGUAGACCCAGCCUCGACCCAUCUUCAAUGCUCUAACUGA